AAAAAACGUUCACUCAAUCUGAAAUUGGAUAAUAAGCCACAUGUCGCAGGUGCCUCGUGUAGGUAUAGUCCUUUGCAAGUUUAGUACUACACAUAUAUGAUUUACCUGUAACGAACGCACUAUUUAACCUUUUUUUUACAAGAAUUUAACCUUGAUGGGAGCGUGAUAUUUUCCAUGGCCGCUGCCUCCAUUGGUCAGAGUCUCAGAGACCAUCGCAUCCCAAAAGCUUAUGAAGAGGCAAGCCCUUCUAGUAGCACCACACCAACCACGGAGAGCAACGCAAUGAUCAGGCGCCGCCCAUUCAUGCAUUCAUUUCAGGA
rnacentral:lncRNA from 1 species